CGUGACAGAGGGGUCUACGCCCCCAGGCGGGACUGGAAAGGAGGUUGAAACAAAAUGGCUGCCGCUGGCAAUCGCGGUGUAUGUUAAGAGACUCGGUAGAGGGAGCCUGGUGGACGUCACGUGACAGCUUCGUCACGGCUGCCGCGGUGCAUACUGGGACGCCCAGGGCUUGGAGGCGGCGGCAGGAGGGAGCCGGGCGGCCAUUUUGUCUUCCUCCGAGAGGCCGCUGGAAAGCCAGCGGCUGGUCCCUGCUUCUCGCCUUUCUCUCGUUCGGUAGCGCCACCGCGAUGGGCCGGAAGAAGAAGAAGCAGCUGAAGCCCUGGUGCUGGUAUUGCAACAGGGAUUUUGAUGAUGAGAAAAUCCUUAUACAGCAUCAAAAAGCAAAGCACUUUAAAUGCCAUAUAUGUCAUAAGAAACUGUAUACAGGACCUGGUUUAGCUAUACAUUGUAUGCAGGUGCAUAAAGAAACAAUAGAUGCUGUUCCAAAUGCUAUUCCUGGAAGAACAGACAUUGAACUGGAAAUCUAUGGUAUGGAGGGCAUUCCAGAAAAAGACAUGGAUGAAAGGAGAAGAUUACUUGAACAAAAAACUCAGGCAGAGAGCCAGAAGAAGAAACAACAAGAUGAUUCUGAUGAGUAUGAUGAUGAUGAAUCUACAGCUUCAACCUCAUUUCAGCCACAACCAGUACAACCACAACAGGGAUACAUGCCCCCAAUGGCACAACCGGGAUUGCCUCCUGUGCCAGGUGCACCAGGAAUACCCCCAGGUAUACCACCCUUGAUGGCAGGUGUUCCACCAAUGAUGCCAGGAAUGCCUCCAGUUAUGCCAGGAAUGCCACCUGGAUUACAUCAACAGAGAAAGUACAUGCAGUCAUUUUGCGGUGAAAACAUGAUGAUGCCAAUGGGUGGGAUGAUGCCUCCAGGGCCAGGAAUACCCCCUCUUAUGCCUGGUAUGCCACCAGGUAGGUCAGUGAUGUCGAACUCAUACUGUGGUAUGCCACCACCUGUUGGUCCUCGCCCUGGUAUGCCUCCCAUGACACAAGCACAGCCUGUGACAGCACCAGGCAUUCUUAAUAGACCUCCAGCUCCUGCUGUAGCAGCACCCUCCCCACAGCCUCCAGUUACAAAACCACUUUUCCCCAGUGCAGGACAGAUGGGGACACCUGUCACAAGUUCAAGUACAGCUUCAUCCAAUUCAGAAAAUCUGUCAGCAUCUUCUAAAGCUCUGUUUCCUAGCACAGCACAAGCUCAGGCAGCUGUUCCAGGACCAGUGGGUACUGAUUUCAAACCUUUGAAUAAUACACCUGCAACAACCACAGAGCCCCCCAAGCCUACAUUCCCUGCUUAUACACAGUCUACAGCUUCAACCACUAGCACAACAAACAGUACUGCCGCUAAACCAGCUACAUCUAUAACAAGUAAGCCUGCUACCCUUACAACAACCAGUGCAACCAGUAAGUUGAUCCAUCCAGAUGAGGAUAUAUCACUGGAAGAGAGAAGGGCACAGUUGCCCAAAUAUCAACGUAAUCUCCCUCGACAAGGACAAGUAUCAAUGGGCAAUCCAUCAGUUGGAUCGCUUGGAGGUAUGAUGCCACCACAACCUGGAAUUCCUCCACAGCAGCAGGGAAUGAGACCUCCUAUGCCUCCUCAUGGUCAGUAUGGUGCUCAUCACCAAGGCAUGCCAGGAUACCUUCCUGGAGGGAUGCCUCCAUAUGGUCAGGGACCUCCAAUGGUGCCCCCUUACCAAGGUGGACCUCCUCGACCUCCAAUGGGAAUGAGACCUCCUGUAAUGUCGCAAGGUGGCCGCUACUGAUGCUACUACACACAGUCUAAUAGGUUUUUAGAAGUGAAGUAUAGUAAAUAUGGUUCGUUAAAUUGUGAAGGCGCUGGAAUUACAUGAACAUACCAUCUUAAAGCAGAAUUUCAGCAUUUGCUACUUACUGGUAGAGAAGAAAAAUCCCACAGCACUGCCAGUACAGGUUAGUUUAAUCUGUAAGUACCUGAUGUUCCUGUUUGAAAUACUGUGUUCAAAUACCAUUUAAAUACAUGAGGAGAGAGUCUUUUGAUCACCUACAUGUGAAUACGUCUUUGUUGUAUAGGAUAUAUAUUGCUGUCUUCAGCAGAGUGUAAAUUUGUAGAAUUUAACAGUUUUAAAAAAAUAAUACAAUGAUUCUAACUACACCUAGGGGUACUAUACUUUUACAAGCACCUGAUUAACGGAAAUGGGGAUUAAAAGUUUUGAUAGCCAUUUUGGCGGUAUUGAGAAGCUUAAUGGACAAAUGGACGUCGAUUCAACAGUCACUACUUCAGUAAUUCACUUACUACCAAGAGAGGUCAUUUUACCAGAGUGAAUUGAUGAUACAGGAUUUUGAUAGUUGCUUAUAAUGGGGAUUGGGUGUUCAUGCCCCUAAUACUGUAGCAGUAAUUUAACCUUGAGUUAAAUGUUCUGGUUACAGAUAUGUAAUAUCACCUGACUUAAUACCCCCACUCUCAUAUAUUUACUGUAGUAGGCCCUGUGCAUGGGAUUAGACUCUGAAAUCCAUUUUUAGCCCCUUUUUACACUUCAAAGAGCUCCUACAAAUGUGUUCCUCAGAUUUUAGUUUACUCCAUAUUUAUUUUUCCCUCAUAUUCCUCUUUACUUUUUCCUUCCACCCCUCCAGUAUUGCUUAGUGUGCUUUAUCUGCUUAAAUUUGAAGCAGGUGACUUAAUUGUUUGGAUUUUUUUGGUUGUGCAGUGUCUUGAGCAUCUUGAGUACUUUGAAUGAAAUUAACUUCAGAAGAUAAAAUUUUGUAUGUGUACACAAAUAUACUGUGACCGUUUUUAGGUGCUCUAUAAAAAUAAACUCAAACUACAGCCCAUUAAAGAUCAAGGAAAGCCAACAGAUGGCGGUAGUCAAAUAGAAACUGAAACUAUUGUCAUCUCAAUUCACCUAAUUAGAGCAACAGUCUGAAUAACAAUAUGAUAAACUGACAUUUACAGCUCCACCAAGUUGAUUUCAGAACUGAUCAUCUUGCAUAGGUUUUAAGAAUUCAUUCUCAAUUAUAACAGCAUGUUCAUUUUUUAUGUUAUAGAAGAAAACAUGCUUACUGGUUUUAAGAGCUGUGAUAACCUUUGUAGUUUUAGCAGGACACAUCACUCAGGGGCUCCUAUUAUAUGCUCAGGAAUUCAAACUGUAAAUGUUCACUUGCCUGCAAGUGGCGGUACACGCAGUUCAAAUUUCUCACUUGUGAUGUGCCUGUUCAGACUUGUCUUUUGGGAACCUGGUGGGUGACUUUUAUAUAGGAUUUAAAAUUAAUCUGUUGCCCUAUAACUCCUAAAUAUGAUUGGGAGUUAUGUGCACGUGUAAAAACUACAGAUUCCUUACUGUGAAAUCAGUGACUAUAUGUAGUAAAGUUCACAAAUCUUCCCUUUUAAUUGAUUUUUUUUUUAAUAAUUAUGAAUCCAGUUGCCGUUUGUGGCACCAAAUCUGUCAGCUUGUUAAUAACUGGUUCUUUUGGACUGCAAUAUUCUGUGAGGUCAGCCUCCAGGGAUUGCUAAAAAAGAAAUAAUUUAACCUUCUACUUCAU